ACGGGAGGCAGCAGUGGGGAAUAUUGGGCAAUGGGGGCAACCCUGACCCAGCAACGCCGCGUGAAGGAAGAAGGCUUUCGGGUUGUAAACUUCUUUGACGAGGGACGAUAAUGACGGUACCUCGAAAACAAGCCACGGCUAACUACGUGCCAGCAGCCGCGGUAAUACGUAGGUGGCAAGCGUUGUCCGGAUUUACUGGGCGUAAAGGGCGUGUAGGCGGUUUGGCAAGUCAGAAGUGAAAUUCCUGAGCUCAACUCGGGCGCUGCUUCUGAAACUGCUAGACUUGAGUGCUGGAGGGGAUAGCGGAAUUCCUAGUGGAGCGGUAAAAUGCGCAGAUAUUAGGAAGAACACCGGUGGCGAAGGCGGCUAUCUGGACAGUAACUGACGCUGAGGCGCGAAAGCGUGGGGAGCAAACAGGAUUAGAUACCCUGGUA
rnacentral:rRNA from 1 species